GAUGAAGAACGUAGCGAAAUGCGAUAUGUAGUGUGAAUUGCAGAAUUCAGUGAAUCAUCGAAUCUUUGAACGCACAUUGCGCCCCUUGGUAUUCCAUGGGGCAUGCCUGUUCGAGCGUCAUUUGUACCUUCAAGCUCUGCUUGGUGUUGGGUGUUUGUCUCGCCUCUGCGUGUAGACUCGCCUCAAAACAAUUGGCAGCCGGCGUAUUGAUUUCGGAGCGCAGUACAUCUCGCGCUUUGCACUCAUAACGACGACGUCCAAAAGUACAUUUUUACACUCUUGACCUCGGAUCAGGUAGGGAUACCCGCUGAACUUAAGCAUAUCAAUAAGCGGAGGA
rnacentral:misc_RNA from 1 species